rnacentral:lncRNA from 1 species
GGGGGCUGCGGCGGGGUGCUGCGCUGCACGGGGUAUGGCCGCGCGCCCAACACGUUAGCAGAAUUCGCGCUGAACCAGUUCAACUUUGCCAUUCAAAGGAGGAGACGAGCGAGGAGGCGACGAGCAUGGCAAAGGAGGAGCCGGACGCCAUGGAAGGGUGUAGAGAGGGAAGACGAAGAAGAAGAUGGAGGGUAUUUUGAUCUGUAAAUUUUAAAAAAUAUAUUGAAAGAGUAACUAGUGGUAUAUUUCUGUAAAUAUCGUGAAUAGUAAUAAUAUAUCUCCGAACUGCGAUAAUUGUAAUGGUAUAAGUCCAAUUAACUCUGUACAUAAUGAUCACUCUCAACCUCUACACAGCUAGUACGUGCGCAGCAUAAAACACUGACUCCACCAUUGUAACACUUGGAUUGCGAGAAACCUACUUCAAAAGCGACACCUCCAUGAAGAUGACGG